rnacentral:rRNA from 1 species
UACAGAGGUCCCAAGCGUUGUUCGGAUUCACUGGGCGUAAAGGGUGCGUAGGUGGCGAGGUAAGUCGGAUGUGAAAGCUCGGAGCUCAACUCCGAAAUGGCAUUGGAAACUACCUUGCUCGAGGGUUGGAGGGGGGACUGGAAUUCUCGGUGUAGCAGUGAAAUGCGUAGAUAUCGAGAGGAACACCAGUGGCGAAGGCGAGUCCCUGGACAACUCCUGACACUGAGGCACGAAAGCUAGGGGAGCAAACAGG